rnacentral:lncRNA from 1 species
CUUUAAUCAGGAUUUGGUAGUACACAAGCUCUCCGGAUUGUCUGCAUGAACAUACAGGGACUUUAAAAGGCACAAGAUCCCUUGCACAGCGACGCCUGACGGCGGGGCGCCCCCACCCCCGCCAGUGCACGGUCGUGUGCGCGUGGGUGCGUGUCCGUGUCCCACCCCUGUGGCGGCGCCGCGCGUGUGCGUGUCGGUUUCAAGUGUUGGAUUUGUACAGUACUCGCAGUCUGGGGUGGGGGUGGGGGGGCUCAGUGCAUGCUUUUCUAACCCGGGUCCAGGGCCCCUGACGCUGCUAUGUACACUAAGGAGGACGCAGCUCGGAGAGAACUAGGAAGAAAACGGGGGUGUGUGUGGGGUAUGUAAGAAACAAAACAAACAAACAAAUAAUAAAACAUAAAAAGAAAGGAAAGAAAAGAAAAGAAAAAAAAAAGCGUCCCGUCUUCAUGUGGGGCCA